rnacentral:rRNA from 1 species
GGGUUGUGAGGUUAAGCGACUAAGCGUACACGGUGGAUGCCCUGGCAGUCAGAGGCGAUGAAGGACGUGCUAAUCUGCGAUAAGCGUCGGUAAGGUGAUAUGAACCGUUAUAACCGGCGAUUUCCGAAUGGGGAAACCCAGUGUGAUUCGUCACACUAUCGUUAACUGAAUACAUAGGUUAACGAAGCGAACCGGGGGAACUGAAACAUCUAAGUACCCCGAGGAA